rnacentral:rRNA from 1 species
AGUCAAGUGAAUAAGUGCAUCAGGUGGAUGCCUUGGCGAUGAUAGGCGACGAAGGACGUGUAAGCCUGCGAAAAGCGCGGGGGAGCUGGCAAUAAAGCUAUGAUCCCGCGAUGUCCGAAUGGGGAAACCCACUGCAUUCUGUGCAGUAUCCUAAGUUGAAUACAUAGACUUAGAGAAGCGAACCCGGAGAACUGAACCAUCUAAGUACCCGGAGGAAAAGAAAUCAACCGAG